rfam:Gorilla gorilla gorilla genomic chromosome, chr17, whole genome shotgun sequence
AUUCUUUUGUAGUUGCUACGUGUGAUGACAGGGUGUUCACACACAUGUGUAAGAUGUACCACCCUCCAGCCUUGUUACAAUGUCGUCACAUUACCCGACCGAUG